CGCGUAGGCGGUUCAGUCAGCGGUGUGUGAAAGCCCGGAGCUCAACUCCGGAAUUGCACAUCGAACUGCUGGGCUAGAGGACAGGAGGGGGAUGUGGAACUCUAGGUGUAGCGGUGAAAUGCGUAGAUAUCUAGAGGAACGCCGGUGGCGAAAGCGACAUCCUGGCCUGUAUCUGACGCUGAGGCGCGAAAGCGUGGGUAGCAAACA
rnacentral:rRNA from 1 species